rnacentral:rRNA from 1 species
AUCGCUAGUAAUCGCGGAUCAGCAUGUCGCGGUGAAUACGUUCCCGGGUCUUGUACACACCGCCCGUCACACCAUGGGAGUGGGUUUUACCAGAAGUAGUUAGCCUAACCGCAAGGGGGGCGAUUACCACGGUAGGAUUCAUGACUGGGGUGAAGUCGUAACAAGGUAGCCGUAUCGGAAGGUGCGGCUGGAUCACCUCCUUU